rnacentral:misc_RNA from 1 species
GCAGAGCUGAGCUGUGGAACAGCCACGACAAGGAAGAAGGUGGAGCAGGGAGAGGCGUCGACCACGGCAGGAAUGGGGAGUGGAGACUGGGCGGCCAUGGACACCGAAGGGGCGAGCUCGAACCAGGACACAGGGAAACGUGUUUGGCAGCUCGCGCGCACAGAGAGAAAUUCGAGCUGGGGCGAGCAGCACAGCAAGAGGGGUGAGCUCAGGAAGACGGACGCCAUGGGAGGACCUUGGGCGCGGUCAUGGAAAUCCGGCCGAGCAGAGCACGGAGCUGAGAGGAAGGAGAGCGGGCUGGGCGUGCGGCCAGGAAAGAGACUUUGGCUGGGCGGCUUCGGCUGAGCGUCGGACAGGAAGCUCUGGCCAUGGAUGGGGUAGAGGACGCCGGCCACGGAGAAGAAGCAAAGCACGGCUGAUAUUUGAAGACUCCCAGGGGCGGCGCCGUAGAAGACGAGCUCGGCUGAGAAAAAUCCGGCGAGGGCGGCUGCGGGGAUAAGCACCGGCGAGCCAGGAAAAAUCUGCCGUUGCUAAGGACGACGGCAGAGAAUUCAACAGGGAACGGCGGCGGAAAAAUCUGGGAAGGAAGAAGAUAGGAACGAUGACGCGUAAUGGAUGAGGCUACGGCUGAAUUUUUU